GGCGAGGCUCUGGUCCAGCCCCUCGGGGGCUCGAGGCUGGUCCAGGGGCGCCCUCGUGACUGCCUCCGGAGACCUCGUGCCCUGCCGGUUGCCCUCUGCAUGGAAUCAGGGUGGAGCAUUUCGGGGCUGGCUUCUGUCACUCAGCAUGAUGCAUUUGUGAUUCAUCCAGGUUGUCCCACGCCUACUUCCUGCUGAAGAGUGUCCCAUUGGAUGUAUGCAGUUUGUUGAGCCAUUCACCUGCUGUUGUUCUGAGUCAUUGCCAAUUUUUGGAGAUGAUGAAUAAAGCCAGUUUAGACAUUCGA